rnacentral:rRNA from 1 species
GAUGAACGCUGGCGGCGUGCCUAAUACAUGCAUGUCGAGCGAACAGACGAGGAGCUUGCUCCUCUGACGUUAGCGGCGGACGGGUGAGUAACACGUGGAUAACCUACCUAUAAGACUGGGAUAACUUCGGGAAACCGGAGCUAAUACCGGAUAAUAUAUUGAACCGCAUGGUUCAAUAGUGAAAGACGGUUUUGCUGUCACUUAUAGAUGGAUCCGCGCCGCAUUAGCUAGUUGGUAAGGUAACGGCUUACCAAGGCAACGAUGCGUAGCCGACCUGAGAGGGUGAUCGGCCACACUGGAACUGAGACACGGUCCAGACUCCUACGGGAGGCAGCAGUAGGGAAUCUUCCGCAAUGGGCGAGAGCCUGACGGAGCAACGCCGCGUGAGUGAUGAAGGUCUUCGGAUCGUAAAACUCUGUUAUUAGGGAAGAACAAAUGUGUAAGUAACUAUGCACGUCUUGACGGUACCUAAUCAGAAAGCCACGGCUAACUACGUG